UUCAAAGUCAAAGACUACUUUCAAGCUACCGAAGAAACCAAUCUAAAGUUUUACGCUAUCAUCGAGGAAGAAAGUCAAAAUAUAUCUAUAUCUGAUAUCUAUAUACGUGUCUAUGACAUGCAGCCGCUACCACAAGUUUCCAAAUAAUUUUCAAAUAGUCGAUUAGUCUCGCGCUCUUUCCGCCUCGAGUCUCCCUCGAAUUUUGGCACUUUACGGUUCUUUAUAACGUUAUACCGUUUAUAUUCAGAGAAAACUUGUGGCGCGGUUUCAAAGCAACGCAUGCACUAUUUGUUAAAAGUGAGCUAGCAAAUUCCUAAGAGGAUAAAAGUAUACGCCGAGCUUAGAUACAGCAUUCGUGUACACUCGCAAAGCCCGCCGUGCACGCGCGCGCGCUCAAUUUGCAAGUUAUUUUAUUAUUCUGUAAGAACUCAACUUGGAUAAAUUAAUAAUUUAAACAGACGUCUAAUUGCUUAAUGCUCUGCGUUAACUUCAAAUAUAAUCAAAUAAAUCAAAAAGAGAUUAGAAUUAAUGUCAUUAAUAAUUAAAUUUGAUGCAAAAUAAAAAAUUUACAGAUCAAUAAUUUAAGAUAUAAAAUUUUCAGAACUUUCAUUUCAAUUGACUCGAUCCAAUAAAAAAAUUGUAAUAAGAUUCAAUAAUAAGAUGUAACGCAAUAAUAUUAAACCGAUAAACGUUCCGUUACACACAAUAGAAUCACGUUGUGGAUGAUUAUAAAAAAUCUUGCGAUUACACGAAAGAAUAACAAAUGCACGCGAAUGCACGCGGACACGUCGGGCAUAGAAUAAUGAAGAAAAAAAGGAAAAGUAAAAGAGUAAAAGAAUAAAGCAGUCAGCCAGUAUCACGAAAUUCCAGUACGAAAUAUUGAUACACCCAUAUCAAUAUCUUACGGCCAUAUUGAUUUGGAUAUACCUAUAGCGACCCGCGCCUCCGAUUUCCAAAAGCGCCCGGCCGAAUAGCGCGAAUGCGUCACGUGACGUCCACGGCCACGAGUGGAAAUUGGAUUUGAAUUCCGUGCGCGUGCUCUUUCUCGUCAAAUUCUUAGAGCAAGUAUCUCUCGCACAAAAGUGCACUUUGUCCGCUUUUCAUCUCGUUGCGUUUCUUGGAAUGGAAAACUGCAAAGACAGUCGCCAGAUCAUGAUUGUAUCGAUCGCUGGGGAAUCCCCGAAUGAUUCAAAAAAUUCGCGAAUCUAUCCUCGGGACUUUCGAAGCGACGAACUUCAGAGAGUAUAAACGUGGACGCAUCGGAAGUCACGUAAUCCGCGAUUUAAACGCAGGGCAUUUUCUGUUCUAAAUCGGAAGACGCCUGGUGCAUUCUAUAUCUUUAUGUACGUUGAGGCUGACGGAAGAUAAGCGAUUGCUUCUAAAUAUUCUGGAAGAAAAAUAGAACUAUCAGAUUUAGCGACAAGAAUUUUCAAAGAUCUGAAAACGUAAAGAAAUGUAUGAAGCAAUAUGUCGCCGCAUCAUUUGGUCCUUACGAAGAUGUCGUUAUUCUUGUUAUGAGGCAAAAGUCGCACCAUAAACGACAGUUAAAAGCAAUCAAUAUCUUAACGUUAACCUCAACAUAACAGAGUAAGGUGAGGUUAGAUACGUGGCUUAGGCUGCGCCGGUCUCCGGAGCUCCACCUACUGACUGGGAUCAAAUCGUCUUUGUAAUGGUCCGCUGCAAACAUAUUGACAGCCAAACUGUAGGCACUAUCCCUCCGCUCAGCUGCUACACCGCCAUAGAUAUAAACGGUAGCAGACUCGCAGCAGUAUAUAAUGUUAUCUUCACAUUACCAAUAAUUAUCAUUAUGGUAAGGAAAACACGUGUUAAUUCUCUCUCCACUUACAGGCUAAAGUUUUUUAUACGUAUCCAUAUCCUUACGAUACUGCGCUCUAUAUAGGAGCACAGCACCUGCUUUCGGGGACAGUGACCAGACUCGGUAAUGAAAUGUCACACCGUCGAGGUAUACCGUUCUUACGGCGCUUACAUGAGAAAGUAAUCUUUGCCGAAGCUAUUCCAGGAGUGUCACAGAUCGCGUUUCGUUGUGCGAGAGGAAUAAAAAACACAGUAUCCGGAACGUCUGGAACGGCUUGAGCAAACGAACAGACGCUCACACGUGAACACGGUCACCUCGAUCCCAGUGUCUAUUCGAUCAGUUAUUGACAACGGGACUAUUUGGCAAAUUCUGACACUCUUAAGCUCUACGGGUCCUUUAAAUCAUACACUUCAUACACGGCGUUUGCGCAUUCUCACUUUUUUGUAACCAGCCGCUACAUCUGUAAGAAAAUGACUGAGUAAUACAAAGGAAUGACUUCCGGAGCUCCAUUUUAUCAGAUACAUACAGAUUCACAAAUUUGAGAAUCCAAGUAGCUUGAGAAUAUCGAGAAAAUGCAGGUGUACAAGAAUCGAAAAUUUCCGUAAGAUGAGUCAAGAAUACGCAUAUAAAGAAUUUGAGAAAUUUGAAAACACGAAAAUUAGAAUUAAAAAAUUUUAAGUAUUGC